rnacentral:rRNA from 1 species
UACGGAGGGUGCAAGCGUUGUCCGGAUUUAUUGGGUUUAAAGGGUGCGUAGGCGGGUUUGUCAGUCAGUGGUGAAAUCUUACGGCUUAACCGUGAAAUUGCCAUUGAUACUGCAGAUCUUGAGUAUGUUUGAGGUAUUUGGAAUGUGUAGUGUAGCGGUGAAAUGCAUAGAUAUUACACAGAACACCAAUUGCGAAGGCAGAAUACUGAGACAUAACUGACGCUGAGGCACGAAAGCGUGGGGAGCGAACAGG